rnacentral:rRNA from 1 species
GAUGAACGCUGACAGCAUGCUUAACACAUGCAAGUCGUUGGCGAAGCUGCGCUUGCGCAGUCUAGCCAGGGCGGACGGGUCAGUAACGUGUCAGGAACUUGCCCUGCAGACAGGGAUAACAGACGGAAACGACUGAUAACACCUGGCAUUGUCAGGCUGGCGCAUGCCGGCCUGAUGAAAGGAGACGCUGCAGGAGAGCCUUGCGUCCUAUUAGCUAGUGGGAGGGGUUACGGGCCACCAAGGCGAUGAUAGGUAGCCGGCCUGAGAGGGUGAACGGCCACAAGGGGACUGAGAUACGGCCCUUACGCCUACGGGAGGCAGCAGUGGGGAAUAUUGGACAAUGGGGGCAACCCUGAUCCAGCAAUUCUGUGUGCACGAAGAAGGUUUUCGGAAUGAAAAGUGCUGUCAGCAGGGAAGAAGAAAGUGACGGUACCUGCAGAGGAAGCGACGGCUAAAUACGUG